GACGGAGGAGGCAAGCGUUGUCCGGAAUCAUUGGGGCGUAAAAGAGCGCGUAGGCUGUUUUUUUAAGUCAUAUGUGAAAACCUCAGGCUUAACUUGAGGACUGCAUGUGAAACUGGAAAACUUGAGUGCAGUAGGGGAAAGUGGAAUUCCUGGUGUAGCGGUGAAAUGCGCAGAUAUCAGGAAGAACACCGGUAGCGAAGGCGGCUUUCUGGGCUGCUACUGACGCUGAGGCGCGAAAGCUAGGGGAGCAAACAGGAUUAGAUACCCCUGUA
rnacentral:rRNA from 1 species